AUGUUACACUUAUCAUCCACUUCCCUGCAAUUGAGUAAUUGCUCUUAAUGAUGUAAUUCAGUCGAAGGAUUCAGCUCUUUCCCAACCAUCCAUCUUCCAUGUCUUUGUUCCGCAUAACUCAGUGUUUGGCAAUCUUCCUUCCGACCGAAACCUUCUCUAAAAGCAGCGUUGAUUAUGGGGAAUUCUCAAGUUCUUCUUUCAGAGUUGAAGGCAGGUUGGUGUAGACAGACUGUUGAAUGUUGUUUCACAGUGACGUCUCAUAUCAUCACAAUUAGUUUUGUCCUAGGACUCGUCUCUAUCAACCAAAAGGUUUUCUCUCUCUCUCAUCUCCACCGGAAAAGAAAAUACCACAUCGUUAGGGUUUCAUAGCGGAGGGUUUCGGUCCUUGAUAGGAGAAGCUUUCAGUAUCAUCCUAGAUUCUUAUUAAUGGCAAUCAAUAACUAAACUUUUUUAGUUCUUCCGGUCCACAAAGAAUUUACAUUUGCUCAAUUUUUUCGCAUGUGUCUGACGAUUGAAAAUAAAAAUUAAGUUUUAAGUCUUGGAUUGGAUUCUGGAGACCGGGAUGCUGACAAGUCGAAAACCGGAGGAAACAGACUAAGGCUCUUUGGCAAAGUUUCUUUCUCAGCGGUAUCCACAUGUGUAUCACUGGUUUCAUAUGUUGUUUGCAUGUUUCACAUUAGUGUGUGGCGGUGUCCUGUAAAUUGAGCUUCUAAGGAGCUAGAUGGAGAAUUCAUGAAGAUUAUGUUAUGUACAUAAGAUAUUAUCCCACGUUCGUCAUGGGCGUGUGUCAAAUCCGCAGUUCUUUGGUCUACACAGCAGCCCGCCAUACAGGGUUUAUUGAUUGGAUGCAUUGUUUAUUCUGAUGAACUGGUACCAGUUAAUUGCAACAAACUCUUUCAAUGUCAGAGGAUCCGUGGUGAUAAAGCUAAGGUGAAUUUUCCAGAGGAGAUGAUCCCUUGCGUCUCCAAGAAAUGUCAUACUCCUAAGACAUCUUAAGAAGCCAAUGGCUAAACCAAACAAAAGCUCAACGCCGUCAACACAUCUGAGUCAGUACUGCAACAAUUCUUUUGACAACAACUCUUUGGUGAUGUGAGUUUCAUGGAAGAGAAGCUUCAGAUGUACACAAAUCAGUUUGAGUUAACAAACUCUUUUUCUGUUGGAGAUAACAACAAAUACCAGUAUUCCAGCUCCGCUCAAGGCAGUAACUCAUUCGACUGCUCUUGGAUUUGGCUGGAGUGAUCACGAGCCAAGAUAUCUUCAAUGCUAGAUACUUUGAGAGUUGGAGGCAUUUCGGGCAUAUGUAUACCCGUGAGAUUUGGAUUUUCACGGGGAUGACUGGGAGAAGAUGUAGAAAGAAUACAAGCAGCCAAAGAACUGAAAACCAUAAGAGGUAACUCCCAUGUGAGGUCUUGCAAGUGAAUGUGGAUUUAUUUUCUAAAGAUGAAUUAGAAACAGCUUUGAUAAGAUUUU